rnacentral:rRNA from 1 species
CGCCCUUAGAGUUUGAUCCUGGCUCAGAUUGAACGCUGGCGGCAGGCUUAACACAUGCAAGUCGAGCGGAGAUGAGGUGCUUGCACCUUAUCUUAGCGGCGGACGGGUGAGUAAUGCUUAGGAAUCUGCCUAUUAGUGGGGGACAACAUUCCGAAAGGAAUGCUAAUACCGCAUACGUCCUACGGGAGAAAGCAGGGGAUCUUCGGACCUUGCGCUAAUAGAUGAGCCUAAGUCGGAUUAGCUAGUUGGUGGGGUAAAGGCCUACCAAGGCGACGAUCUGUAGCGGGUCUGAGAGGAUGAUCCGCCACACUGGGACUGAGACACGGCCCAGACUCCUACGGGAGGCAGCAGUGGGGAAUAUUGGACAAUGGGGGGAACCCUGAUCCAGCCAUGCCGCGUGUGUGAAGAAGGCCUUAUGGUUGUAAAGCACUUUAAGCGAGGAGGAGGCUACUGAGACUAAUACUCUUGGAUAGUGGACGUUACUCGCAGAAUAAGCACCGGCUAACUCUGUGCCAGCAGCCGCGGUAAUACAGAGGGUGCGAGCGUUAAUCGGAUUUACUGGGCGUAAAGCGUGCGUAGGCGGCUUUUUAAGUCGG